CUCUUUGUUCCUACCCUCUGCUAUGAGAAGAGUGUUCCAGAGAGGGGCUGCUCCUCCAGCCUACAUCCUGGGAUGGAAAGAAAUGUGGAGCUCAGCAGAGCCCAAAGCAAGCCAGAGCUGACCUACAGAACUGGAAACCAGAAGUAAUGUCAGGAGAGGCUUUCCCAUCUGAAAGAUAAUGAAACACCUGCUAUUCCUGAGGAGUCCACUAGAGGAUGAGACUCAUCCAGCCAUCCAACCGAGAGAUAAGUGGGGAAACUUUGGCAAAAGGACUGUUGAAAGAAUGCUGCCAAUCGCCAGAGGCAGACAUGUUUAUCAGGCUGUGUAUCUUGAAGUCUGACAGAAAAUCUGUGGCCUUUGGUACAGCUGAAAAACACUCUGUCAACACCAUGGAGAGUGCAAGCCCGUUGUGCUGGCCUCAACCCAAGGAGUGCAGGGGAAUGGACAAAAAUUUGACUCAAGGCCAAAAAUUACAAGAGGAGGGAAAGUCAGACUUGAGGCAAACAAGCCUUUUCCAUCGGGUCUGUUUAAUAUCUCGUGUAAGCAUCCAAACCACAAAUCGGUCAGUGCUUAGGUGAAAAGACAAGUUUUUCUCCCUUUUGGAAAGCUAUUUUGCUUAAGCUCCUAUGAAUACAUCAAUUAUAUUAGCCCUGAGAGUGUCUGUCAGUGCAAUGUUAAAAGGUCCACUAUUUUUCAGACUGCCCACAUCAGAAACAAAAUACCCUUCAAACUCUCUGCCCUGAAUUGCUUGGGCCAAAGAGAGCUUGAGAGAAAAAGGCAUAAACUCCACAACAUUGACAGUGAGAAGAGCCACUGGUUUUAAGUAAAUUGUAGUCAUAUUUAUCAGCUUAAUAAAAUCCCCCCAGCACUCGUGUGCCAUCAAAUUCUUCAAUUUCAAAUUCAGGAAAAAUGGCUCUUUUGUGACAGAAGGUAUAAGGCCAAAGGGCAGGUUGUCAGCGAGACCGCCUCCCCUGCAGGCCAGUUGGGCUUGGAGCUUUGGGAAGGCAAGUUUGCAAGAGCCUAGGCCUGUUGCAGAAAUACUCUGUCCUCAGCUUUUCCUUCAGGGCCAGGUCCCUGGAUUCUUGGAUAAGACAUUUACAAUAUGCGGGCACCACACUGAAUCAGGACUGUGUGCAGAGAAGCAAACCAGGCCUUUCCACAUAGAUAGGAAAAAAUAAUCAUAACAGUUCAUGGUUAUGCAGCUUCCAGUGGACUCCAUUGUUACCUGGUAAUCAUCAGUCAAUUGCCAUCACCCUUAACCUUAAAGGUGUCACUUUCGUACUUCAGGUAUUCUUUCCAAAGUCCCUCUACCCCUUCUUCUCCCUGUCUUAUCUGUCCCUGAUCUCUGCCACCCUCAGUUGCUUACAUUGGCCAACCAGCCUGAAAUGGGAGAGGUUGAAUCCUUCAUGCUAUGUGCAUAGCCAACAUUCCACAAGAUUUAUGUCACUAAAGCCUGUGAAAAUGACAAAUGGUGAGAAAGAGGGCCAAAAAGGGAAGCAAAAAUAAAUCCAACUACGAUUUAACAAAGGGCGGCCCAGUAUCUGUACCUAGUGGGUACUGUGAUAUCUUGAGGGACAUGAAUUUAACAAGAGAAAUAAACUGCUGUAUGAGGAUCUUUAAAAUGCUCUUGUUUUCCAUUCAAAUUCUCUUUAGUAAAGUUGCUUUUUGCCCUGAAGUCAUAAUCCAAUUGUGUCAACGUGGUAAUUAAACAUCUGGAUUGAUUAGGUGGGGAAAGGGAGAUUAUUUUCUAAGAUAUUUUUUCUAAAAAAUAAGCUUAAGAGUAGAAGGGCUCUGGUUUCCCGGAGCUGUCUAGAGUCAUGGAAGGAAGGCCGCCAAUAUGAGGGAUGAGGAUGGCCACACAGUAGGGUGACUUUUCAAUAAAAUAACUUUUUUGUUCUUGUCACAUUUAGUGAGCUUACUGCAACUACUACCCUACCAAAGUCACUGACUUCAGUAAACCAUGGCUCAGCCAUAUGAUGAAUCAUCCAGAUGAUCAAAAUUAUUCUUAUGAAGAGCUUUUAACAACAAAUACAGAUACUUGUGAUAUAACACUGUGAACAAAAGCAAGAUAUACAAGGGCAUUUGCAGUAUAAUGACAACUAUGAAACCGAUCCACAUACGAGAACAGCAAUACUCCAAAACUUCAAAAGGUGAUUAGCUAUAGAUGGUGGGAUUCUAGAUGAUUUUUGUUAUUUUCUAGACCUUGUAUUGAGUAUUCUAUAGUAAGUAUGGAUUCAUUUUUAUAAUUAAAAAUAUAUUUUUAAAUGGAAUAAAAUCUAUAAAAGGCAUCACCUACUUCUUUCAAAGGUCACAUAUUCCUUAAUCAUGGCUUGAAGCCUCAGAGCUAAAAUGGCAGUGUUCAAAAUAUACAUCUGCUUUAGAACCUAUUUUCUUCAAUCUUUCCUAUGAUACUUAAAAUUUCAUAGACCUUCACAGAAAUGUGGGAGGAAAUCUGUUAGUGACUUUGUACACGCACCCAGAUGAUCUGGAACUGGUACUCUCCAGUGAAGCAGCCACUGGUCACUGAGGCUACCAAGCACUCGAAAUGUGUCUGGUCCAAGCUGAGAUGAGCUCUGAGAAUGAAAUACACACCAGCUAUUGAAUAUAUGGGAAGGGGCAAAAAAUGUAAAAUAUCUCAAUACUAACUUUAUAUUGAUUACAUGUUGAAGUGAUAUUUUUGAGAUAUUGCAUUUAAUGAAAAAUACUAUUAAAU
rnacentral:lncRNA from 1 species